UACAGAGGGUGCAAGCGUUGUUCGGAAUUAUUGGGCGUAAAGGGCGCGUAGGCGGUGCGGUAAGUCUCUAGUGAAAUCUCCGGGCUCAACUCGGAGCCUGCUAGGGAAACUGCCGUGCUUGAGUGUGGGAGAGGUGAGUGGAAUUCCCGGUGUAGCGGUGAAAUGCGUAGAUAUCCGGAAGAACACCGGUGGCGAAGGCGGCUCGCUGGGCUCUUGCUGACACUGAAUCACGACAGCGUGGGGAGCAAACAGG
rnacentral:rRNA from 1 species